AUUGAACGCUGGCGGCAGGCCUAACACAUGCAAGUCGAGCGGUUGAACGGAGAUUGCUCCCGGAUUCAGCUGCGGACUGGCGAGUAAUGCAGAAGAAUCUCCCUAGCAAUUUUGUAUAUCGUCCUAACAAGGGCACAAAUACCGUACUCGUCCAGAGGGAGUACGUGGGAGACUUUGGGACCUCAGGCAAUCACAUGAUCCUAUGUCCGAUUAGCUGGUUGGUGGGUUAAAGGCCUACCAAGUCGACGAUCCGUAACUGGUCUGAGAGGAUGAUAAGUCACACUGGAACUGAGACACGGUCCAGACUCCUACGGGAGGCAGCAGUGGGGAAUAUUGGACAAUGGGCGAAAGCCUGAUCCAGCCAUACCGCGUGUGUGAAGAAGGUCUUCGGAUUGUAAAGUACUUUAAGUUGGGAGGAAGGGCAGUAAGUUAAUACCUUGCUGUUUUGACGUUACCAACAGAAUAAGCACCGGCUAACUUCGUG
rnacentral:rRNA from 1 species